UAGAACAGUCCUUGCUAUCCCUUACUUUCCUAAUUCGUUUCUCACUAUCUGUCGUUCCUCUUUGAUCACUCACCGUCGAACCCUUGGUUCUUCUACUUUCCAUCUCAUCAAACCUCCAUCUUUAUCCUUUUCAAGUUCCUUAGUUUCAACUUAGCACCUCACCUCCAUCUCCGUCAAUCCUAGUUCUUUCGUUUCGACCGAGCACCUCCAUCAUCGAACCCUAAAUCUCGUGAUUUCUCUCCCGGCCCAGCAAUUGAACCCUAAUCCUCGUGAUUAUCAAACCCUAAAUUCUUGCUUUCAACACCUCACGCCCUUCUUCUACUUAUUUUAGGUUAUUAUAAGAAAGGCAUACCUGAAAGGUUUUAGGGAAAUACUUGUUGCUUUACAGGAGCUCAAAACCAUCCCACGGGGGCUGUAUCUACCAUUGGAGAACUUUCUAAUGCACAAAAGCUAAGAUACCAUUGGUUCCAAAGCAUAUGAAUCUGUGAGAAAUAUGCUACUCAUGGUUAAGGGAAUUACCUAUAUCAGAGAUUGGAAGGCUUGUAUAUGUAAAAAGAGUGGUAAAGAGGACAAUAGUUUCGACCCGAGCUCCUCUAAGGGACUUUCAAGUGCCUAGAAUGAGGUGGUGUAUUUUAUAAAGAAUGUAGAGAAAAUUUACUGAUAGGAAAAGGUUGUGUACAUUGCUAGAAGUUGUUGCCACAAAAAGAGAUCACUUGCAUCCUCGUCGACGUCAUCAAGUAAGUUCCCAUACUCAAUCUGUGCAAUAUUAAGUUUGUGAAUUGUCUAUUUGUAAUAUUCAUGAGUUCAUAUAGUAUGCCUAUUGUCUUGACUAAGUAAUAAAACUACCAAUGUUUUGCCUAUUGAGGGAAGAAAGAAGAUGAUGGCAAAUCUUCUCUUCCUCGCCUUCCUUCUUUUUUUUGUGGUAUUUAUUUACUUCAUCUUACUUUUGGCUUAUCGAAGAACUAAUUGGCAAAGAUUGUUGUCAAUGAGAGUUAUUUAUCAGUCAAAAACAACUCUUGGUCUAGUGGCUUAGGUAUGUGAGUUGUUUAUUUCUUUCUUUUACUAGUUGAAUUAAACUAUAGGCUAAAUGUAUAUGUAACUUUUAAUAGUUAUUAUCUUUCUGGUUUAGCAUACUUGUUACUGAAAGUUGAAUCACAUAGGUAGGUUGAAAUGGAAGUGUAGUCUGUUAUAGGAUUAUAGGAAUAACACUAAUUGCACGUUGCAACUUUAGUUUAGAGACAAUGUAAUUUUGACUAGAGAUCAAUGUUGACUAGAGAAAUGAAUACCAAUAUGCCAUACAUAGUUCUGCUGACUAUAAUUAAUUGAAGAACUCGAGUGUUGUUGGAUUAUUUUUUGUUGCUGAGUUGAGAUACUAUACUUCUGAACUAAGUUUGUUUAAUUUUUUAUUGGUGCGUUGCUCAACUGAAAUACUACAUGCCUUAUGCUUCUGUCAAGAUUAAAUGUGUUUGGAAAAGUACUUUUUAUUCUCUACUUUUUAUUCUCUAUAAAGUAUUUGAUGUUAUGUUAGUUUUUAUU